GUGGACACAUCUUCUACCAAAGCAGAACGUGAACUUUUGAAAAGGUUCCCAGUUUGCUUGAUGCAGUUUACCUAAUUCUUUGCUGAUGAUAUAUCUCUUUAUUGUCUAUUAACUUUGCAUUUUUUUUUAGAUACUUCUAUAAUAUAUUAGGUAUUAUAUUCUUUAGAUUAUAACUUAUGCAAAUUAAGUACCAUUUCCUUGUAUUCUUUUAAUUCAGAAAGCCCAGAAAAUCGAAGUUUCCGGUAUCUUCUUUGAUCUUAUAGAAAAUUGUAGUGUUUAUAUGAUCCGUACCAUCUGUUUAUUUGAGACUCUUUAUCCGUGAGUACCUUGUGCAUUACUUGAAUUUAAAUGGCUUUAAAGUUCAUACAAACUAUUUGGCAUGCAUUUGUUUCAUUAAGCUACAGUUUGGACUUCAAAACUGGACCAUUUAUAGUUGUUUGUGUUUAUGUUUGAUUUAUGUACGCCAAUGGUAUAAUGUUCUUUUAUUUAAAACAAUAAUCUGGAAGACUUAAUUUAAGUUUCUGAUCUUUGAAAUUAUCACAUUUGAAAGUGAAAACAAUAAAAGUGGACCGUUGGCUGCGAGAGGUAAUUUGCAUAACUAGAGAGAAGUCAAAGGAAAAAUAAAUAAACAAAUCAUUGUACAAAGAAAAUAGAGAAAUCUCUAAAUGCAAUACAUUCGAAGUCUUACAUUUGUAAGUAGAACCUUUUUUCCCUGUUGAUAACAUGGAGAUAUGGUUGUGGAAGGUAAGUUAUCCAAACUACUUUGUGAUGUCUAACACAGGACGCAUGUAAACUACUGUGACUAUGAACUUUACAAUUGAUUUAGGAUUUGUGUGAGUGAUUAAAACAAUUUGUAGUUAUCUCAUUAUAUAAGUAUCCUGGUGAAUUGAAUAGAACUAGUAGCACUAUGUACUGUUCAAGGAAUAAAGCAAUUUGUAGUGUUAUCUCAUCAAUGAAUUGUUUGGAAAUUGUCAAGGAAUUUCACAUGUUAUUAGUUGAUGAUAAAUAGACUGGAUAAGGUCAACAGUGCUCCGUGGCAAAAGAGCCUGUCAAUUGACAAACACUGGUGUGGCUAAAGUGAUUGCAGGCUUUGCAGCUCAGACAAAAGGAUCAGUUCAAAUUGGCUAAGUAUUUGCCCUACAUAAUAUAAUUUUUUGACAAGAUGUUUACGGAUUGCGUAAUGACAGAGGAGGCUGACAAAAGUUUCACUUGGGAUACUAUUUAAUGCAACAAUCUACUGUGUAGAUUCUUUUAAAUGGACUAGAUCUUCCUUUUAGCAUUAGAAAUUUUGGAUUCUUCAAGGAAUUCUCAAGGAAGGCCAGUUUAACUUUCUCUUGCAGUGAUAUCCAUGAACACGGUAUCUUCGACACCAGGUCUUCCUUUUGGAAAUUGCUCUGGAAUGGUUGUUAGAGUUGAGACUAGAAAAAUGCUGUUGCAGAUCUUCAGUCCUUUUCUGUCUCAUUCUUCUUGUAAUAUUGAAUUGUGAGAUAUAUGAAUCAAUGUGUUGAGCAAUAUAUAUUUUUUAUUUGGAUAAUGAGAGCUUGCAAUUGUUGAUUGGAAA